GGAGAAGCAGGAGAGAGUUAGAAGAACUUUUGAAAUCAGCUACUACUUUGGGACACAGAUUGAAAAUGGGGCCUAAAGGAAUCUGGAUGAUACUACUAAUACUAAAUGCAAGUACAACGCUGAUGGUUGCACAGCUUGCAAUCACAUCUGCACCAACCACGACAACAGCUGCUCCAACCACAACUACAGAAGCUCCAACCACAACUACAGAAGCUCCAACCACAACCACAGCAGCUCCAACCACAACAACAGCUGCUCCAACCACGACAACAGCUGCUCCAACCACAACAACAGCUCCUCCAACCACAACAACAGCAGCUCCAACCGCAACAACAGAAGCUCCAACCGCAACAACAGAAGCUCCAACCACGACAACAGCUGCUCCAACCACAACCACAGCAUCUCCAACCACAACCACAGCAUCUCCAACCACAACCACAGCAGCUCCAACCACAUCUACAGAAGCUCCAACCACAACAGCAGCUCCAACCACAACAACAGCAGCUUCAACCACAACAACAGCUGCUCCAACCACGACAACGGCAUCUCCAACCACAACAACAGCUGCUCCAACCACAACAACAGCAGCUCCAACCACAACCACAUCAGCUCCAACGACUACAACAGCUGCUCCAACCACAACUACAGAAGCUCCAACCACAAUCACAGCUGCUCCAACCACAACAGCUGC